rnacentral:rRNA from 1 species
GUUUACCUACGGGGGGCAGCAGUGGGGAAUAUUGCACAAUGGGGGAAACCCUGAUGCAGCAACGCCGCGUGAGUGAAGAAGGUUUUCGGAUUGUAAAGCUCUGUUAGCAGGGAAGAGGAAGGACGGUACCUGCAGAGGAAGCCACGGCUAACUACGUGCCAGCAGCCGCGGUAAUACGUAGGUGGCAAGCGUUGUUCGGAAUAACUGGGCGUAAAGGAUGCGUAGGCGGUUAAACAAGGUAUAUGUUAAAUAUAUAGGCUUAACCUGGAGAAAGAAUAUAAAACUGGUUAACUAGA